rnacentral:ncRNA from 1 species
AUUAUGGUGAUGAAGAAGAAAAGUAAUUAUUUUAUUUGUUUAAGAGAGCUGGGUAUGGUGGAAACCGGUACAUUUACUUUAAUGAAAGAAGCUUUGGAGCUAUGGAUCGAAAAUCAUAGAUAUUUAAAAAUAUGGAGUAGAUUCGUGGGGCGCUUCCCUUAAAGAGCUUAGAGAACUGAAAUGUAUUAUUAAUUUUAGUUGAAUUUAGGUGGUAACACGUGAGUAAAUCCUUUCGUCCUAUAA